rnacentral:rRNA from 1 species
AGAUAUCGUAGCGUAGCAAUAGCCUGUGAACAGGUGCUGCAUGGCUGUCGGUCAGCUCGUGCCGUGAGGUGUUGGGUUAAGUCCCGCAACCGAGCGCAACCCCUACUGCCAGUUACCAACACGUUAUGGUGGGGACUCUGGCGGAACUGCCGGUGACAAACCGGAGGAAGGUGGGGAUGACGUCAAGUCCUCAUGGCCCUUAUGUCCAGGGCUACACACGUGCUACAAUGGUCGGUACAGAGUGACGCGAAGCCGCGAGGUGAAGCAAAUCGCAGAAAGCCGGCCUUAGUUCGGAUUGGAGUCUGAAACUCGACUCCAUGAAGGUGGAAUCGCUAGUAAUCGCGCAUCAGCAUGGCGCGGUGAAUACGUUCCCGGGUCUU